AGUUAACGUUAAAUUUUUGAAGUUAUUUUAGCUUUUUUGUUGGGUGAAAUCAGUAUAAAGAGUUUUUCCUUCUUUAAAAAUUAAUAGGAAUUAAAAAACUCUGAUUUAAAACCAGGAUUAGAUACCCUGUUAUUCUGAGUUAUAUUUAGACAGGGUAGUAAAAGUUGUUCUUCAAACCCAAAGAUUUUGGCGGCACUUUAUCCAAAUAGAGGAGCUUGCCCCUUAAUCGAUAGUCCCCGUUUUAUCUUUCCUCUGUUUGUAGAGCUUGUAUACCGCCGUUGUCAGAUUACUUCUAGAGAAUGUUUUCAAAUUAAAAGAUUUUUUUACUUCAGGUCAAGGUGCAGUUUAUAUAGAGGUGAAGGUGAGCUACAAUUUUCUUUACAAAUAUGGAUACUAAGCCUCGAAGCUGGUUGAAGGUGGAUUUAUUAGUAAAGUAAUUUAAGUAAA
rnacentral:rRNA from 1 species